rnacentral:rRNA from 1 species
UACGUAGGGGGCAAGCGUUGUCCGGAAUCAUUGGGCGUAAAGAGCGUGUAGGCGACUCGAUAAGUCCGCUCUGAAAGCCCGGGGCUCAACCCCGGUAGGCGGGCGGAUACUGUCGAGCUAGAGUCCGGAAGAGGCGAGUGGAAUUCCUGGUGUAGCGGUGAAAUGCGCAGAUAUCAGGAGGAACACCAAUGGCGAAGGCAGCUCGCUGGGACGGUACUGACGCUGAGACGCGAAAGCGUGGGGAGCAAACAGG